GCCCAAAUAGCUCAGUUGGGAGAGGGUUAGACUAUAGAUCGAAAGUCCCUGUUUCGAUCCCGGGUUUCGGGU
rnacentral:tRNA from 1 species